UACGUAGGGUGCGAGCGUUAAUCGGAAUUACUGGGCGUAAAGCGUGCGCAGGCGGUUCGUUGUGUCUGAUGUGAAAGCCCCGGGCUCAACCUGGGAAUGGCAUUGGAAACUGGCGAGCUAGAGUGUGGCAGAGGGGGGUGGAAUUCCGCGUGUAGCAGUGAAAUGCGUAGAGAUGCGGAGGAACACCGAUGGCGAAGGCAGCCCCCUGGGCUAGCACUGACGUUCAGGCACGAAAGCGUGGGGAGCAAACAGG
rnacentral:rRNA from 1 species